rnacentral:misc_RNA from 1 species
ACAAACUUGGUCAUUUAGAGGAAGUAAAAGUCGUAACAAGGUUUCCGUAGGUGAACCUGCGGAAGGAUCAUUAACAAAUCGUUUGUAUGGCUUCGGCUAUACAUAUUCACCCCAAGCCUGCUAGUCAGGCUUAGGUUAGGCCGGUAUACAUUUUGUGUACUGGUCACAUAGACGCUUGUAUUGUUUGACAGAGUAUAGUUGCAUCAAAAAAUGACAACUUUUAACAAUGGAUCUCUUGGCUCUUGCAUCGAUGAAGAACGCAGC